GAAUUAGACAUUAUAUUAGAGAAAAGAAGAAGGAUAUUUAUCAUAUGGCUCUGCAAAAAUCAGCCAAUUGUGUUAUUAUUGUUGGCCUUUUCAUCCUUCUCAUGCUGCUUUCUUCUCCGAUACUAACCUCCCAUGCUGCUCGUUUCGCCAAUAAAGAUCCACCCAUGUGCCCACAGUGCAUGUGUUGCACUUCUCCACCACCAGGACUUUGCUGUGAUUGUUGUUCCAAUUCUCACUUGCCACCAUAAAUCCCUAGCAAUAUAUAGGGACGUGGGAGAUCGAACCUUCGACCGUGAAGGAAUAAACGCAUGUCAAUUACUGUUGAACUAUGCUCGUGUUGGCAAUCCGUAGUUACACUUGUUGCUCUUCGUGUGUAUGUAUGUAUUGUAUUUAAAUUACUGUUGCAAUGCAACGGUUAAUUUAAAUAUUUCAUCAUAUUAUAAUAAACCAUCUCUAUAGUAUUCAA